rnacentral:rRNA from 1 species
AGUGAACGCUGGCGGUAGGCCUAACACAUGCAAGUCGAACGGCAGCACAGUAAGAGCUUGCUCUUACGGGUGGCGAGUGGCGGACGGGUGAGGAAUACAUCGGAAUCUACUUUUUCGUGGGGGAUAACGUAGGGAAACUUCCGCUAAUACCGCAUACGACCUACGGGUGAAAGCAGGGGAUCUUCGGACCUUGCGCGAUUGAAUGAGCCGAUGUCGGAUUAGCCAGUUGGCGGGGUAAAGGCCCACCAAGGCGACGAUCCGUAGCUGGUCUGAGAGGAUGAUCAGCCACACUGGAACUGAGACACGGUCCAGACUCCUACGGGAGGCAGCAGUGGGGAAUAUUGGACAAUGGGCGCAAGCCUGAUCCAGCCAUACCGCGUGGGUGAAGAAGGCCUUCGGGUUGUAAAGCCCUUUUGUUGGGAAAGAAAAGCAGCAGGUUAAUACCCCGCUGUUCUGACGGUACCCAAAGAAUAAGCACCGGCUAACUUCGUG